AGAAUGACUCUCGGCAACGGAUAUCUAGGCUCUUGCAUCGAUGAAGAACGUAGCGAAAUGCGAUACUUGGUGUGAAUUGCAGAAUCCCGUGAACCAUCGAGUCUUUGAACGCAAGUUGCGCCCGAUGCCAUUAGGUUGAGGGCACGUCCGCCUGAGUGUCACAU
rnacentral:rRNA from 1 species